rnacentral:rRNA from 1 species
CUACGGGCCGCUGCAGUAAGGAAUAUUGCGCAAUGGAGGCAACUCUGACGCAGCCAUGCCGCGUGCAGGAAGAAGGCCUUAUGGGUCGUAAACUGCUUUUAUUUAGGAAUAAACCCCCGAACGUGUUCGGGGCUGAAGGUACUAAACGAAUAAGCACCGGCUAACUCCGUGCCAGCAGCCGCGGUAAUACGGAGGGUGCAAGCGUUAUCCGGAUUUAUUGGGUUUAAAGGGUGCGCAGGCGGGCUAUUAAGUCAGUGGUGAAAUCCCGGGGCUCAACUCCGGAACUGCCAUUGAUACUGAUAGUCUUGAGUUUGGUUGAAGUGGGCGGAAUGUAGCAUGUAGCGGUGAAAUGCAUAGAUAUGCUACAGAACACCAAUCGCGAAGGCAGCUCACUAAGCCAAAACUGACGCUCAUGCGCGAAAGCGUGGGGAUCAAACAGGAUUAGAUACCCUGGUAGUC